CCAUCUCUGGCUGAGGACAGACAAUUCCUCCUCCCUGAGGUCACUCUGAAGCUGCAUGCUGCCCAAGCACAGCAAAGAUUUUAUUGUUGUUUUUUGUUUUCCCCUCCUUCUCACUGCCUACAGAGCCAAAGGGCCUGUUUGUUUUCCUCUUAGUUAUCAGAAAGGUUUAUUUGCGAUUGCUUGAGAGAGGAAAAAAACCCUCUGUAGCCACAGGCAGACAAGCUCAGUGCUCAGGAACAUAAUGGCUGGAGCCUGCAGGCCCAUAUGCUCGCCAUCCUGUGAGGUGGAAGGCCAGCUCCGAUCAUCUCCAGCUGCUCAGGAUACAAUUGAUCAGCACCUCACCCUACCCUCAGUGUCUUUGUGAAGGACAAUUUUGGAAGAUCACCAGGUUGCACCUUCAAAGACUGGGCCUUUAGUGAUGCUAGGUUUUCUGCAGGCAGUGAUUUUGUAUUUCACAGGAUCUCCUACACACUGCAACCUUUUACAGCCCACUAUCGCUCAAUCCAGAAGCACAGACUGCUAAUAGCAUGAGAUGAAUAAAUGACUAGGAUGUUCAGCACCACCUGAGACACCCGGGCACAAGCAGCAGGUUUCUCACCUGCAGGUCACCAGCUCACUUCAGAAACCUGUCAUCAUCGUGCUGUCAUUUUUGAUUAAGCCAGGUUACCCAUGGACCUAGAUGGCUUGAUGUGGCAUA
ensembl:lncRNA